rnacentral:precursor_RNA from 7 species
UGUUUGAACAAAAGUCCACGGUUUGAGAUCUGAAGCGCCUGUUCUUGGAUCGUGGCCCUGUAGUCAUCCUCGGGCAAAGCGCUUGACAUCUCUGUGCCUCCUUUCUCGUCUGGAGACC